CUUAGGGUAGACACCAGGGCUGGCUCCUUGCUAGGGACCUGAUGAGUGCUGUGUGUGAUUGCAUUCUGAUGUGUGUGUGUGUGUGUGUGUGUGUGUGUGUGUGUGUGUGUGUGUAUUAUCCAUAUUUUAAAUAAAAGGAAGUUGAGGCCCAGAGAGGUUGAGCAUGCUAGGGAUAGGAUUGAAACUCAGGCAGCCCAACCCCCGAGUCUGACCUCUUAAUCCUGAAUGUCCAUGAGAUGGAGGAGUAAACCAGUGAGUGAGACAGUAGGUGUGAAAGAAACAAUCCUGGAAGGCUGCCUGGAGGAGUUAGCUCUCGGACUGGAGAGGACAGCUGUGACUUGGUUGUAAUGAGUAAGGGGAGGGUCUUCUUUAAGGCCUGGGUGCCAAGAGGGAUGAAUUGUAUAGGAAGAACAUCAUGUCCAGUGACCUGUCUAGAGCUUUGGGACUCUACACAGGAGAUUUAGGACAACGUCAUUGGAUGGUGAUAAAUCGUCGAACUGGGAACCCAAAGAUUGGCUUUCUCUCUGGUGCUAGUACCAUCACUUUGUGAUUUUUUCCCCCCAGGGAUUGAACCCAGGGGCACUUAACCACUGAACCAUCUCCCCAGGCCCUUUAUUAUAUUUUAUUUAGAGACAGGGUCUUGCUGAGUUGCUAAGGCCUCCAUAAGUUGCUGAGGCUGGCUUUGAACUCAUGAUCCUUGUGUCAGCCUCCCAAGCUGCUGAGAUUAUAGGCAUGGGCUACCGCGCCCGGCUUGCUAUGUGAUCUUGAUGCAGCGAUUUGACUCUCUGGGCCUUUGUUCUGUCUCUAAAAGGAGCAAGUUGGAUUAGAAGCUCUCCAAGGUUCCAGACGGCUCAGAUAUUUUGCAUGUCCACAAGAUGGAAAGCAAAUGAGGGACCUGGAAGGGCGUUUUGAAGCCCUCCUGUGGGGCUGUGGGGCUGAGAGAUGAGACGUGACUCCCUCCUGGCUAGCUGUGCCCUGGCCUGCGUUCUCAGAAAGCUGAGCUGGGGCGCACAGCACAUUUUCUCUCUAAUUAGAGAGUGUGAAGUUAUCCAUUUUGAAUGAGAUAAGUUUCCAUGCAUGAUGUCCCCAACUGCUCCCUGAAGUGCUCAUUAGUCACUUCCCUGCAGCUGCCUUAUUGUUUUCCAGAUGCCACCAAGGGACUUGGCAUUUCCCUUUCCAGAGAUGGGGCAGGCGCUGCUCAGAGGGGCUGAGGAGGCCCCAGGUCCUUUGCUCUUCAUCCCUGUCCCUGCCUGAGUCAUCAUCUAACAUUGGAGGCCUCAAAGCCGAAGGUGUCUGCUUUGGGAAAUGGCUUUGGAGGGCCACCGCUGAACUGAAAAAACACUGGUUGAGUACUUAACUCAAGUAAGGCACCUUGCAUCUGGAAUCUGAAUGCUCCCUAGACCUGGGGGGUACAAAUGAAGUCAUCCUAGUGUUAAUGUCCAAAUUACCAUAACCGCAGCCUGGCCCCCUCAGAGCCUCCGCUCAGUAUUUAAGUUGCCCGUAGGGUAGUGCUUCCUACUUGCAAUAGCUUGCUCCUGGGCUGCCUUUCUUCCUAUCUUCCCCAGCCCCAGGAUGUGCAGUGGGACCCCUCCUAUAUGGCAGUCUCUUCCACGACCGCCAGGUGGCACUGUGACCCUGCAGUUGAGGCAGCAGACACCGUGGAGGAGAAACAGGUUGUGCAAAGGGAGGCCUGUGCCAGUCUCUUCCUUGAGGCCUGUGGACCAGGCCUGAGAAAUCUAGGGAGGAUGCUGGGCCGCUGGUCCCAGGACCAGUGUGACUCAGCCUGGGAAGGCUGAAGCAGAAAUCCUCUCUCCACUCUCCUCCUUCCUCUGCCCGGCUCAUCAGGGAACUGAUUGCAGCUGUGAAAGUUUUGACACACCCAGAAAAUUCCAAGGGGGGAAAUUUCCCACAUGUCUUUCUCUAUAAUUUUCCAGGCAUUCAGGUCUUCAAAUACAUUAACCAUGAUUUCUUUAAACAAAAAACGAGAUAUGCAUAAUGCAUUGCACGUUCUUAAAAUACGCAAAUGACUUCACACUGGGAAAGGAGGAGGCUUGGAAAAAACUGUAUGACAGAGAGUUUAGAUUGAUUUUCUUCUGUGAGAAAUUCUGCUUCUCCCUGACGGGCUCUUUCCUCGCUCAUCUCCCUCAGUCCUGUCCUGGCCUGUUGCUGUUUCUCUCCUGCUUUGAGCUUCCCCCUUUGGUCUCAAUUCCUCUUCCCUGGCCCUCUGUGUCCCAUCCCUCCGUGGGUCGGUAGUUCUGCUCCUUUUCUGCUGUCUCUUGCCUCUGAGCACGUGGACUGGUGUCUUCCUCUGUGUGGCUGUCUUCCUCUUGGAGGUUCCUCAGCUCUGAUUCUGUGAGAGUGUCUCAAGCCACAGCUACUUUGCCUGUGCUCCACCUUCUUCUCAGCCCAGAUGGCCCCCUGCUGCCAUCCCCUGCUCAGUCUAGGUUUGGGCCCAGUGGGGCCUCUGUGCCUGUGUGGAGAGUAUCCCUAGACCUCUGCUCUCCCUAUUCCACAGGAAGUUCUCUUUCUAGGAAGAACAGACCCUCUGUCCACUCCUGCAGGCCCUGUGGGCUACCUGGAGGGUCUCCCUGCAUGAAACUGUUCCCUGCCCUUACUCUAAUGACUCUGUCUUCAUGUCUUCUGAGACACACCCUAAUUUUAUAGUUCAGAAAGAGCAGUGACUACCUCAAGGUCACUUAGGUGAUGCAGAUAGUGGGGCAUGGAGCUGGGAUUGGACUCAGGUCUCCUAGUUGACCUUCACUUGACUUGUGCUUCUCCAGAUACUGGAGAGGGAACUGUGUUGAUUGUUGAGAGAGUUGGCUGUGGAGCUGGUGGCUCUGUCCCCAGAUGGGCAGCUCAUCUUCCUCUUCUGGGACUCACCUUUCCCACCACACAAAAGAGAUAUCCUUGCUUUGCCUUGCCACCCUGUGGGGUUAUCAUGGGCAUCAAUUUCACAUCUAUGGGAUGGGAAAGUGCUUAAUGAAUAAAUAAAUUUAAAUAAAGGGUUUGAAAAAUAAAUUGAAAGGUCUGGAGCUGAGCAUGACCAGCCCCCUUGGUGGGAUCUGGGCUCAGCAGGUUGUGGCCACAUCUCUGAUCAGACCCUAGUGGGUCUGACCCCAGAUUUCUGGUGUCUCCUUGGUUGGUCCUGCUGCCUCUGGGCUUAAGGUAUAAAAAGCUGUUCUGUUCGCCGGGCACAGAGGCAAGAUCCUGUAGUCUGAGCAGCUUGGGAGGCUGAGGCAGGAGGAUCAUGAGGCCACAGCGAGGGGCCAAGUAACUCAAUGAGACCCUGUCAAUAAAUAAAAUACAAAAUAGGGCUGGGGAUGGGGCUCAGUGGUUGAGUGCCCCUGGGUUCAAUCCCUGGUACCCCUGCCCCAAAAGCUGUUGGGUGGUCACAGGACAGGAUCCAGCCUUAUCCAGAUUGGGAGGACCUUAGGUCUCCUGGAAAUUGUGCGCACAACAGUGUUCUCUGUCUUGGGAAAGAGAAUGGUCUCCUCAUCUGAUUCCCUCCUGGGGAGUCCUUGGCCUGUGACAGGUCUGGGCUAUCUAAUCUACAUCCCCUUGGCAGUGACACCCAACCGUGGAGAGAGUGACCUCUGGGAUGGGACUGGCUGCCUCUCAUCCAUCAGCUACGUGACUUUGGGCUGCCACUCAGCUUUUCUGGCCUGAAAGCCCUUGACUGUAGCAUAGAGGCCACAGUCAGCCCCGGCAACUCCCACCAGCCAGGCUGGGGCUGGGGGUUAUGGGUAAUUUCUCCUCAAAGUUCCCAAACCCAAGCUGUUGACAUGGAAUGAUGGGGGAGGGCACAGGCAGGUGGCAGAAUUGCCCCCCCCCAGUGAAUGGGGACCUCACUCCCAUCAUGGUGACAUUUGGUUCCUACACUCCCCUGACUGUCCUCGCUGUUGUCUGCCUGAGAGUGCAUGGGACCCAAGUUUUGUGGGCAUAAUAAACACUUUAAAAUGACUGUGAUCUUUUCAUUUUAAAGAAGAACACAAAAUCCAUUGUUGAACCAAAAUCUCUUUGAUAUUGCAACUGGUGGUGCGUGGCAGGGACUCCCUCCCCGCUUGUGACUCUGAGCAUGAGGAGUGACAAGGCGGUGGGAAAGGAUGAGGUGGUAGGAAUCGAGACUGUAACAGGGGAGACCUGGCCUCGGCCCUUCCCCUCCUGGGCCUCCGUUUCUCCACUGUAAUGUGAGGGGUCAGGCUAGAUGGACUCUAGAAGUGGUUUACAAACUGAGCCUGCAAAGUUUUGGCCAUUCUUUGGGGGACCCACUGGGGGCAGGGGGCCCAAAUGGUGGGAACCGAAGCCCCAGUAGCUCCAGCGGAUUCCCUUUUAUUUUUCAUUCAAAAAUAAAAAAGGGCCUAUGAUUGGACAAAUGGCGACAGCAAAGCUGACUGAACUGGGAGUGGCUGGGCCUGGUGCCGAGGCCUCCGCAGAUGCUCCCUGAAUGCUCCUGCAUCUAGAUCCAAGCCUCUCACUCAGCCAAGGUGCUCACCCCUCGCUCCCCCCAUGUGCAUGUAGUGACAUGGGCAGUGGCUCUGCCUUUCCAGGAAGGUGGGGAACUGGCUGCCACCAGAGUUCCAGUGACUAUGGUUUUAAUCCAAUCUUGGCUUGCAGUGGCCAUUCCUGCUGGGUGGCUGCUUAGCCUCUCUGGAGGUGACCGGCUGGCCACUGACGUGGACUGCAUCUUAUCCUUCCCUCGCAUCAUCUAGGGCCUGAGCCAGUCUUGGAAAGGCUUGGCACUCUCAGCUUCAUCCCUACAGGGGCCUGGUCCUGGCCUGCCCAUGGAUGCCUUGCAAGGCUGUCCAAUGGGUCUUAUCACUGAUGCUGCUGCCUGUGCCUCAGUCUCCUCAUCUUGACAGGAGGGAUGGGAUGGGAGGGAACCUCUAUUUCAUGCUGUGGCUUGCUGGGCUGGCCUUCCCCAGUACCCCACAGUUGUAGCCUAGGGCUCAGAGAGCAGUAGGGGCUUCAUUUGCAGUGUUUCAAUCCUUGAAUGUCUAUACUGAGAGGACCAAGCCUGAGGAGAUGGUUCAGGCUUGUGGUUUUUAAUUCCAGAGUCCUGCAAUUAAAUUUUCUGUGAAGGAGUUUCAGGUGAAUUUCAAAGGGAAAGCUGAGAGGUAGGGAGGGCUCUGUGACCCCCACUUUGUGUAUCUACUUUAAAUUUAGGAGACUUGAAAAAAAGAUGGGAUCUUUCCUAUUUUAUGAUGUAAAGUCAGAGGACUGAAGAGAAGAGGCAGUUUAUUAAAAGCCACAAAGAGAAUCAAUGGCUAAUAAUAAUAACUAUACCUAUGGAGGACGUACUAUGUGCCAGGCAUGAUGUAUGGUUGAUCUUUUUUAGCAUAAACCACUGAGUAGGAUGAUUAUAUCCUCAAUUGGCAAGUGAGGAAACUGAGGCACCGAGAAGUGAAAGGAUCACAGAGCAGGGAUUUGAACUUGACCACCUCUGGGAACUCUUCACCUUGGUCUAGUGCUCCUGACUGUGCACUACUGGGUUCCUUGCUGGGCACCAGGGAAGGCAGCCUUUUUUGGUCCUUUCCUUCUCCUGGAUCUGGCAUCUUCAACACAGGCCUGGGCUUCUGACUCAGAGCCAGCCACUCGGCAUCUGGGGUGGGGAGAGAUAGUAGGAAUGGAGUCCCAGGAUGGAGAGAUGUACUCUGAAGAUGGAAGAAAUGGAAGAUUAAGUGAGGCCUUUGUGAUAAAGACAGCUGGGAGGAGUAGAGGUAGAAAGAUGCCAUUCUGACUCUUUCCCUUGUGGAAUUUCUAUGUGACCUUGCAGAGAUCACCUAACCUCCAGCCACCUCAUCUGUUAAAUGGGCCAGAGACUCCCAUUAUUCAGGAGAUAAUAGUCAAGGAGACCUUUUCAGUUCGUCAAGGGCCACAUGUUCAGGCGGGGUGUGUGUCAUGACAGUGGGUACUGAAUAGGGUGAGAUGCUGCCACCUCUGACCUUGUUUGGACAAAGCAAGGUGAAGUUAAGAACAGCUGGGAUUUAUAACUGGCUUCUUGCUCUUACCUGCUCUGUGUGCCUGGAUUCUUGGACCCUCUCUGUGUCUUUCGGCCAUGGUACAUGCUCAGUGUGUAAAUUGCUUCCCACUGCUCAGCAGCAAGGAAGGAGCCAGAUGAGUGGGUAGUCUAGCUUUACAUGCUGCCACCAUUGCAGGGAGUUCCCUCCCAGCACCUGAAAUCACAGCUGGAAGAGUGGCUUCUCCUGGCUCCAUCGCUAGCCUCUGACCUUGGCAUUUGGCCUUGAAGCCAACCUGGAAGCAGAUGCUUGGUAGAGCCUUAAUGAAUGGAGACAAGUCGCUGUGCAGCAGAGCAGAGGUGACCUGGAGACCUGCUGCUCCUGCCAUGGACAAGUCAUGGGAUUUGGGGCUAGCCCCAACCCUCUUGGCUUCUGCUUCCCACAUGAAAAUCACAGCAUUGGGCUAGGUAAUCUCUAGGGAUCCUCCCCCUCAGAUGGCUCUGAAAUGACAAGGAGUGAAGUGUGACUGCUCUUUCUCA